UCCCCAACGGUCGUUGUUCCACAGGGGGCGAGUUUAGACUCAGUGAAGGAAACACCUUUUAUAGCACUAAUGAUGCUGUGACUUUGGUAGAUUUUAGGGAAUAAAACUUUUGGGACACAUUACAGCACUGUGGUGGCCAUCUGGUGUUGUACAUCACGCCCAGCACCCAAGGGCUGCACUGUUCUCUCAGAGCUGGGCCAGCAGAGGGCUAUAGCAGACAUUGCUGCAGAGGAGCUGAGUUUAUCAGUGCCGUUAUAAAAACCCUGAUUUCAUUGUUUUCUCUAUCUGUUUGAGUGUAUCAGGUGUCAGGAGGAAAGACCACGUUGAAAAAUGCCUUAGAAGAUAUUUUCGCAUUAAUAGAAUCAUAAAAUAUCCCAAUUGGGACCUAGUCUUAACUAAGUUCUACAAACAAGCCAAAGACAUAUAAAUAUUGUAAGGGAAAAAUAAUAAUUUGAAGAUACUUGCUAUUAACUUCAUAACUAUGUUUUAUGAGAUCUGCUUAAUCCAGGCGAUGGACGUUACUGAAUGAGCAAGAAGAUCUCAUUAUUUUUUAAUAGGAAAGGUCAGUGAGGCACUGCUGUGUAAUUUAGACCCUUAAACCAGAUGUGGUAAAAGCCUAAGAUCAGUAAUUAAAAUGCACACACGUUUGAACUGCUUUUUGCUAUGACGGUACAAGCGUUUUGAGAUCAAUGGAGAUCAGCCUAGAUCCAUUUUGUGUUGAUAACAGUGCAGCACAGAUGUGCUGCUUUUGUCUCCAGACAUCUGAUCACACCUGGCUGUUGACACACAUGUGUCCAAUAAUAGUGGAGGAAAGAGGCUUUCCUGAAGAUAUGUGGCAUUCAUUGCUUCAGCCUUCUCUUCCGAGCUCUUCAUCUGCUGUGCAAUUGUUAACACCAGUAUCUUCAAGGGCCUCUAUAGCACUGUGUGAGUACCGUAAGGUGAGAAACAACAGCACUGUCUGCUGUUUGAUAUCUGUGACAACAAUUUG